UACGUAGGGGGCAAGCGUUGUCCGGAAUUACUGGGCGUAAAGGGCGCGUAGGCGGCCUGCUAAGUCGGAUGUGAAAUCCCUCGGCUCAACCGAGGAACUGCAUCCGAUACUGGCGGGCUUGAAUCCGGGAGAGGGAUGUGGAAUUCCAGGUGUAGCGGUGAAAUGCGUAGAUAUCUGGAGGAACACCGGUGGCGAAGGCGGCAUCCUGGACCGGUAUUGACGCUGAGGCGCGAAAGCUAGGGGAGCAAACGGG
rnacentral:rRNA from 1 species